UCACCAUCUGCAAAGAACACUUCACCAUCAACAUAUUAACAUAAACGGUUCUCUUUUUCUUGUUUGACUGCGUUUGGUACAGGUCACAACAACGACGGCAGAUGUAGAGACCACGCUUUCCCUUGCUUCCACUCCACGGCUGAUCAUGCUUGAGGAUCCAGAUCUACAAAACAAAAAAUGGAUGCUGCCGAUUGAAGGCUAAGUCCGAUUUCCUGCGAUUGACCUACCAUUUCUUCAGCAUUUGCUGUUCACUUUGGUUGCUACUACGUGCUCAACAUCGAGUACCAUGUGCAAGCAGCCACUACUUUGGAGUUUAUUCAGAGAUUUAUUGUGAGGAUCAGCCCCGACAACAGCAAGUGCUCCUCUAACUUCCAGGUGAGCAAAAGAAGUGGGAAGAUGGUGCAAAGGAAGAACUCUGGCCUGAACCAUCAUGUAUAUAUCCACCUUUAUUAAGGACUUUAUGAAUUAAGCAAAACUAUUAAGCAACUAAAGCAAAUACAUUCUACUCAACUCACCAGAGGUUUGUGAAGUUCUUUUUUUUCUUAAAGGUUUCUUUUAGUUAAUUUGUCCACGCACUGAUUUAUAAUAUU